rnacentral:rRNA from 1 species
AGAGUUUGAUCCUGGCUCAGAUUGAACGCUGGCGGCAUGCCUUACACAUGCAAGUCGAACGGCAGCACGGAGCUUGCUCUGGUGGCGAGUGGCGAACGGGUGAGUAAUAUAUCGGAACGUACCCUAGAGUGGGGGAUAACGUAGCGAAAGUUACGCUAAUACCGCAUACGAUCUAAGGAUGAAAGUGGGGGAUCGCAAGACCUCAUGCUCGUGGAGCGGCCGAUAUCUGAUUAGCUAGUUGGUAGGGUAAAAGCCUACCAAGGCAUCGAUCAGUAGCUGGUCUGAGAGGACGACCAGCCACACUGGAACUGAGACACGGUCCAGACUCCUACGGGAGGCAGCAGUGGGGAAUUUUGGACAAUGGGCGAGAGCCUGAUCCAGCAAUGCCGCGUGAGUGAAGAAGGCCUUCGGGUUGUAAAGCUCUUUUGUCAGGGAAGAAACGGUGAAAGCUAAUAUCUUUUGCUAAUGACGGUACCUGAAGAAUAAGCACCGGCUAACUACGUGCCAGCAGCCGCGGUAAUACGUAGGGUGCAAGCGUUAAUCGGAAUUACUGGGCGUAAAGCGUGCGCAGGCGGUUUUGUAAGUCUGAUGUGAAAUCCCCGGGCUNCACCUGGGAAUUGCAUUGGAGACUGCAAGGCUAGAAUCUGGCAG